ensembl:lncRNA novel transcript, antisense to ADTRP
GCCUAGAGUUCUUUAAGAUAUGCGUUCCAUGGAUGCAUUACAGGAUGCCCACAGUGAUUCUUACCUGCAUGGCUACUUCUCAUGGCAGGACAAAGAAGCAAUCUUGUCACUCCACGAGGGUUCAACUAGCUGCAUCUCCUCAGCCCCAUCUUUCUUGAGACUGCAGGGUCUGAAUUUCUGAAUGGAAAUUCCUCCAGGCAGGCAUUUUGGUUGAAUAAGAACUAAGGUUUGAACAGGAAAGAUGAGAAGAGCAGGAGAUGAGAUACCCUCUCCUCUCCUAGUCCUCCACCUCCAUCCCUCUUCAGUUUGGAUCCUGGCUGGGCUGGACCCCGCAUGUUGACAACAAGGAUGUGUUGUGUGGCAUCUUUUUAAUUAAUUUUCAUAUAUGAAUUUACAGGUAGGGUAAGGAUUUCUUCUGUGGAAAAUGGUGCUGAGAUUCCAAUCCCUGCUGAGUUGAGGUUAUAAAGCUAUGGUUGACCUGGAUGAUCUCAGUUGAAGGUCAUAUUUUGGAAACGGUAACAGUGGCUCUGGUAGGGAGUUCACAACAUGGUUGGUUCUGAGCAGGACCAACCAUGUGUUAGGGAAAAUAUUUAUUCAAUAGAAAAAUGAAUAAAAACCAGAAAGAGAAGAAGAGAAUUGCUGAUUCUGGAAAUGGCAAGGUGGCUGGUCCUGGAACUCAGCUUAGUCCACCCCUUGGCAGUUUUUAAUGUAUUCUCAGGGUAAGAUGUGUACAUGUAUUUGUAAAUGAGGCAUGAAUUUAAAGAACUGUUACUUCUGGGAACCCAGGAAGCUUUGCUGAGGGAUCUUACCCUGGAGAGCACAGUAUAAAAGAAAGUAAUUCUCUCUCUUGCCUCAUAGCAACUACUUUGGGGAAGGGACUUUACAAACAUCUGCCCCAAGGCUGGGUGACAGCUGCAUAUCUGUGCAGUGUUUGUACGGGGCAUGCAAUACUUUACACACUAGCAGGGACACCUGCAGCAUCAGUAGGUUUCUGGUCUACCAAGAGC